rnacentral:rRNA from 1 species
UGGGGAAUAUUGCACAAUGGGCGAAAGCCUGAUGCAGCGACGCCGCGUGAGGGAUGACGGCCUUCGGGUUGUAAACCUCUUUCACCAGGGACGAAGCUAACGUGACGGUACCUGGAGAAGAAGCACCGGCUAACUACGUGCCAGCAGCCGCGGUAAUACGUAGGGUGCGAGCGUUGUCCGGAAUUAUUGGGCGUAAAGAGCUUGUAGGCGGUUUGUCGCGUCUGCUGUGAAAGACCGGGGCUUAACUCCGGUUCUGCAGUGGGUACGGGCAGACUAGAGUGUGGUAGGGGAGACUGGAAUUCCUGGUGUAGCGGUGAAAUGCGCAGAUAUCAGGAGGAACACCGAUGGCGAAGGCAGGUCUCUGGGCCAUUACUGACGCUGAGAAGCGAAAGCAUGGGAAGCGAACAGG